CAGACACAAGCACAUGAUAUAAAAUCAAAAGAAAAGCAACCAGCGCUUGCCAUGGUGGGGAGCAUGCUGCACACUGACAGUGACAGGUGCUAGAGCUGUGAAACAAGUGGUCAAGUGAUGCCGCAUUUAAAUAAUGCUUCAAGUGACAAGACAGUGGCAAAACAUCCCAUCAAAUGCCAGGAGCUUGAAGUUAAGUGUCACCUGGAACAUUAACCUGUCUAUCUUGCACUUGUUUCUGGUCAACUGGGAUACCUAUAUGUCUGUCAGCACUAUUAAGAGCAUGACAAGUGAAAAGCAUCUGUCAAAUGCAUUAAUCCCAGCAAUGUACCAGAUUAAGCUUAAUCUAAACCUGGUUAGAACUGCUUACAAAAUGUAAUGCUUCCAACAUGAUAUGUACCUUUUGUUCCAGUCAUGUAAUAUCAUACAUGAUCCAGAGAAGCACUGCUUGUUUCUUUGACAGGUGUAUUAAUACAUAAUCCUAGAGCGUAUGUGCAGUUCUCAGCUACAUACCUACAGUACAUACAUAAUAGGUUUGAGUUACUGACUCAAAAUUUCAGAACUCAGUGUGGAUACAUAUACUGAUGCUGUCCUUGCCUAAAUUACAGCCCAUUAGACUCAUUACUUAGCAUUAAUCAAGAUAACACACACAUUCUGAAUUGGCAUGGCUUCCUUGGGGAGUCUUAGCUAUUAAGUGAGUGCAGAUUGUGUGUUUAAACUCUGAACCUGCUGAUUGCAAAUCAGGAUUGAACCACCCAGUCAGAACUCAUGGUGAUAAGGUGAACCUGUGUUACAUAAUCUCCUACUGCUGCACAUUUUCCCAAUUAUGUUUAUGGGGACAUUCGAAAUGGAAACCAUCAGUUUUUACAGCUUAAUUAAACCUGAAAAGUUAAUCUGCCUUAGAUUUGUAUUUUAUUUACAUAAUCGUUUUAAUUUAACCAAGUUCACGGGGAGGGAAAUCCAUUAAGGCCUCAUUCCACUGGCAGAGAUAAAGUUAUUAUUCAGGUUGAAGUCUUCCUGCCCUAAUUAUAUCAUCCGGUCUGCCAUGAAUAUUUCCAUGCAGAUGUAAGACCCAAACACUAUUAUGUGUGUUUAUGUCCAGCCGCCGGCUGAUAAAAUCAGCAAUACAAGAAUAUAUUUACAUAUAAAUAAAAAAUAGAUCCAAUUAAACUGAGGUUUAUUGCCCUGGCUGUACAUCACUGUCCAUGGAAAUGGGCAGGUAAUAACACUGCCAGUUUAGUGACAGAUAUUCAAAUGGUAAUCAGAAUAAAUGCAAGAAUUAUUUAUGCUGUAACCUUUUUGAGAAUGUGACUCAA